UUACCCGCUCCGCGAGUGGUGGGGACUUUUACUGGGCUUAAAGCGCCCGUAGCCGGCUGGGUGUGUCCUCCGUUAAAUCCACAGGCCUAACCUGUGGGCUGCGGGGGAUACUACCCGGCUUGGGGGUGGGAGAGGGCGGCGGUAUUCCCGGGGUAGGGGUAAAAUCCACUGAUCCCGGGAGGACCACCAGUGGCGAAGGCGGCCGCCCAGAACACGCCCGACGGUGAGGGGCGAAAGCUGGGGGAGCAAACGGGAUUAGAUACCCUUGUAGUCC
rnacentral:rRNA from 1 species